UUUACAUUAGGUUUGUCAGAGCUGGGUUGUUUACAUUAGGUUUGUCAGAGCUGUGUUGUUUAUAUUAGGUUUGUCAGAGCUGUGUUGUUUAUAUUAGGUUUGUCAGAGCUGUGUUGUUUACAUUAGGUUUGUCAGAGCUGUGUUGUUUACAUUAGGUUUGUCAGAGCUGGGUUGUUUACAUUAGGUUUGUCAGAGCUGGGUUGUUUAUAUUAGGUUUGUCAGAGCUGUGUUGUUUAUAUUAGGUUUGUCAGAGCUGUGUUGUUUAUAUUAGGUUUGUCAGAGCUGUGUUGUUUACAUUAGGUUUGUCAGAGCUGUGUUGUUUACAUUAGGUUUGUCAGAGCUGUGUUGUUUACAUUAGGUUUGUCAGAGCUGGGUUGUUUACAUUAGGUUUGUCAGAGCUGUGUUGUUUAUAUUAGGUUUGUCAGAGCUGGGUUGUUUACAUUAGGUUUGUCAGAGCUGUGUUGUUUACAUUAGGUUUGUCAGAGCUGUGUUGUUUACAUUAGGUUUGUCAGAGCUCAUUUUUUAAAAAUGCAUUAUAAUGUAUUUGUCACGUUCUGACCUUAGUUCCUUUGUUAAGUCUUUGUUUUAGUAUGGUCAGGGCGUGAGUU